rnacentral:ncRNA from 2 species
CUCUUAUCCUGAGCUGGCGGAGGGACAGGCCCAAUGAAGCCCGGCAACCUGCUUGAUCCUAAGGAAGCGGAGGUUGUUUAUCAAUCGCUUCUAUAUCUACAUAUUUUCAAGACAAAGGUGCCAACCUGCAGCAAGGGAAAAACCUUGAACGAUAAGAG